rnacentral:rRNA from 1 species
AGGACGAACGCUGGCGGCGUGCUUAACACAUGCAAGUCGAGCGGUAAGGCCUUUCGGGGUACACGAGCGGCGAACGGGUGAGUAACACGUGGGUGAUCUGCCCUGCACUCUGGGAUAAGCCUGGGAAACUGGGUCUAAUACCGGAUAUGACCUGCUCUCGCAUGGGGGGUGGGUGGAAAGAUUUAUCGGGUGCAGGGAUGGGGCCCGCGGCCUAUCAGCUUGUUGGUGGGGUAAUGGCCUACCAAGGCGACGACGGGUAGCCGACCUGAGAGGGUGACCGGCCACACUGGGACUGAGACACGGCCCAGACUCCUAUGGGAGGCAGCAGUGGGGAAUAUUGCACAAUGGGCAAAGCCUGAUGCAGCGACGCCGGUGAGGAUGAAGGCCUUCGGGUUGUAAACCUCUUUCAGCAGGACGAAGCGCAAGUGACGGUACCUGCAGAAGAGCACGGCUAACACGUGCCAGCCAGCCGC